GAUGAACGCUGGCGGCGUGCCUAAUACAUGCAAGUCGAGCGAACGGACGAGAAGCUUGCUUCUCUGAUGUUACCGGCGGCGGGGUGAGUACCCCGUGGAAACCCACCUUAUAGACCUGGAUUACCUCCGGGAAACGGGAGUUAAUACCGGAUAUUAUUUUGACCCGCUUGGUUCAAAAGUAAAAGACGGUCUUGCUGUCACUUAUAGAUGGAUCCGCGCUGCAUUAGCUAGUUGGUAAGGUAACGGCUUACCAAGGCAACGAUGCAUAGCCGACCUGAGAGGGUGAUCGGCCACACUGGAACUGAGACACGGUCCAGACUCCUACGGGAGGCAGCAGUAGGGAAUCUUCCGCAAUGGGCGAAAGCCUGACGGAGCAACGCCGCGUGAGUGAUGAAGGUCUUCGGAUCGUAAAACUCUGUUAUUAGGGAAGAACAUAUGUGUAAGUAACUGUGCACAUCUUGACGGUACCUAAUCAGAAAGCCACGGCUAACUACGUG
rnacentral:rRNA from 1 species